rnacentral:rRNA from 1 species
UUCGCCCUUAGAGUUUGAUUCUGGGCUCAGGACGAACGUUGGCGGCGUGCAUAACACAUGCAAGUUGAACGGGGGUUAGCCUUUUGGGACUAACUUAGUGGCGAACGGGUGAGUAACGCGUGAAGAACCUGCCUUUCAGUGGGGGACAACAGUUGGAAACGACUGCUAAUACCGCAUGACACUUCUUGGGGGCAUCCUUGAGAAGUCAAAGCUUUAUGUGCUGAAAGAUGGCUUCGCGUCUGAUUAGCUAGUUGGCGGGGUAACGGCCCACCAAGGCGACGAUCAGUAGCCGGUCUGAGAGGAUGAACGGCCACAUUGGGACUGAGAUACGGCCCAGACUCCUACGGGAGGCAGCAGUGGGGAAUAUUGGGCAAUGGGGGAAACCCUGACCCAGCAACGCCGCGUGAAGGAAGAAGGCCCUCGGGUUGUAAACUUCUUUUACCAGGGACGAAGGACGUGACGGUACCUGGAGAAAAAGCAACGGCUAACUACGUGCCAGCAGCCGCGGUAAUACGUAGGUUGCAAGCGUUGUCCGGAUUUACUGGGUGUAAAGGGCGUGUAGGCGGAGGAGCAAGUCAGAUGUGAAAUCCAUGGGCUUAACCCAUGAACUGCAUUUGAAACUGUUCCCCUUGAGUAUCGGAGAGGCAAGCGGAAUUCCUAGUGUAGCGGUGAAAUGCGUAGAUAUUAGGAGGAACACCAGUGGCGAAGGCGGCUUGCUGGACGACAACUGACGCUGAGGCGCGAAAGCGUGGGGAGCAAACAGGAUUAGAUACCCUGGUAGUCCACGCUGUAAACGAUGGAUACUAGGUGUAGGAGAUGAUUUCAUCAUCUGUGCCG